UGGUAUGCAAGGAAUUAACUCAUCAACAUCAAUAUAAAUAUGAUGUCGUGGUCUAGUGGACAGGUCAUCGGACUGUGGAUCACAUCACAUGAUUUGCGGUUCGAAUUGAGUCCUCACGAGGCCCUCAUGUCCUUUGGCUGGACAUUAAUCUAACUUUGACACACAGGUGAGGUGAAUGGGUACCUUGCAGGAAUUAAUUCCUUGAAUGAUAGUGUGCUACUAAUGGCAGCCAUGCUAAAGCCAGGGUAAAAAUUGUGGUGCACUAGGAGUGUCAAGUCCAGCAGACAUGAGCAAGAACCUACUAUUAUUAUUAUUAUUUUUUACUAUCAGCCUCAAGCUACACUUUUCUCCUCACUUUACUUUUUUUUU